rnacentral:rRNA from 1 species
ACCACUUUGUGAUUCAUGACUGGGGGGAAGGCGGAACAAGGUAACCGGUGGGGGACCUGCGGAUGGAGAACCGCCUUACCUUAAAGAAGC